rnacentral:rRNA from 1 species
GACGAACGCUGGCGGCGUGCUUAACACAUGCAAGUCGAACGUGAUUUUUGUGGAAAUUCUUUCGGGAAUGGAAAUGAAAUGAAAGUGGCGAACGGGUGAGUAACACGUGAGCAACCUACCUUACACAGGGGGAUAGCCGUUGGAAACGACGAUUAAUACCGCAUGAGACCACAGAAUCGCAUGAUAUAGGGGUCAAAGAUUUAUCGGUGUAAGAAGGGCUCGCGUCUGAUUAGCUAGUUGGAAGGGUAAAGGCCUACCAAGGCGACGAUCAGUAGCCGGUCUGAGAGGAUGAACGGCCACAUUGGAACUGAGACACGGUCCAAACUCCUACGGGAGGCAGCAGUAGGGAAUCUUCGGCAAUGGGGGGAACCCUGACCGAGCAACGCCGCGUGAGUGAAGAAGGUUUUCGGAUCGUAAAGCUCUGUUGUUAAGGAAGAACGUGUGUGAGAGUGGAAAGUUCACACAGUGACGGUACUUAACCAGAAAGGGACGGCUAACUACGUGCCAGCAGCCGCGGUAAUACGUAGGUCCCGAGCGUUGUCCGGAUUUAUUGGGCGUAAAGCGAGCGCAGGCGGUUAGAUAAGUCUGAAGUGAAAGGCAGUGGCUCAACCAUUGUAGGCUUUGGAAACUGUUUAACUUGAGUGCAGAAGGGGAGAGUGGAAUUCCAUGUGUAGCGGUGAAAUGCGUAGAUAUAUGGAGGAACACCGGUGGCGAAAGCGGCUCUCUGGUCUGUAACUGACGCUGAGGCUCGAAAGCGUGGGGAGCGAACAGG